UCAUCAGAUUAGCAUCAUGCUGUGAAGACCAUCAUCAGAUUAGCAUCAUGCUGUGAAGACCAUCAUCAGAUUAGCAUCAUGCUGUGAAGACCAUCAUCAGGUUAGCAUCAGGCUGUGAAGACCAUCAUCAGGUUAGCAUCAUGCUGUGAAGACCAUCAUCAGGUUAGCAUCAGGCUGUGAAGACCAUCAUCAGGUUAGCAUCAGGCUGUGAAGACCAUCAUCAGGUUAGCAUCAUGCUGUGAAGACCAUCAUCAGAUUAGCAUCAGGCUGUGAAGACCAUCAUCAGAUUAGCAUCAGGCUGUGAAGACCAUCAUCAGAUUAGCAUCAUGCUGUGAAGACCAUCAUCAGGUUAGCAUCAUGCUGUGAAGACCAUCAUCAGAUUAGCAUCAGGCUGUGAAGACCAUCAUCAGAUUAGCAUCAUGCUGUGAAGACCAUCAUCAGAUUAGCAUCAUGCUGUGAAGACCAUCAUCAGAUUAGCAUCAUGCUGUGAAGACCAUCAUCAGACAUUUAAAAAAAAAUGUCCUUCAUCUUUUAAAUGUUUUUCACAAGUCAUGCUUCUUGAAAAUCUGAUUUCACCACUGAGAAAACACACAACCACAACACAACACACCACCACAACACACCACACCACCACAACACACCACCACACUACCACCAUGCACAGCACACUACCACAACACACCACACUACCACAACCACCAAACUACCACCACACUACCACAACACACCACCACACUACCACAACACACUUCCACAACACACCACCACAACACACUUCCACAACACACCACACUACCACAACCACACCACCACAACCACACUACCACAACACACCA